AGACUUGUAGCAGAUGUGGAAAGCUUGGAAAAUAUAGUGGAUCAAAGACAGGGAGGAAAGCCGCUCAUCCCUAAGACCAAGCUUUCUGCCAAAAUGGAACUUGUGAGAAGAGCAACUUGAAGGAGAACAAACUUCUCUCACUUCAGCCCAGGUCCAACUGUCUGCAUUGCCUUUAGGCCUGUGACAAGACAGGAACAUCAGGGAAGAAGAACGUGGUGAAAGACUGCUUCCCACCUCAUGGCAGACAUGAAACAGAGAGAGAAGAAUCUACCAUCAAAAUACGCCCUUUAAAUACACGAUCACCGUGAUCUACUGCUGCGACUAAGUCCCACCAUCAGUAGCUCAUUCGGACUUGGAAUACUCCAUUCACCAAUGGAUUGGCCCCCUUAUGAUCCAACACUCUUUGGGUCAACAGCUGGGGUCAAGUUCCUAAAACACGAUGCCCUGUGAGACGUCCCUCAAUGUAUAACAUUACACCUUGGCUCUCGAAGGUUUAUCUCACAAUGUAAGCUUAAUUUAAC
rnacentral:lncRNA from 1 species